UGCCAGCCGCCGCGGUAAGACGGAGGGUGCAAACGUUGUUCGGAAUUACUGGGCAUAAAGCGCACGUAGGCGGACUACUAAGUCGGGUGUGAAAUCCCUCGGCCCAACCGAGGAACUGCGCCCGAUACUGGUAGUCUUGAGGACAGGAGGGGAGCGUGGAAUUCCUGGUGGAGCGGUGAAAUGCGUUGAUAUCAGGAGGAACACCGGCGGCGAAGGCGCCGCUCUGGCCUGUUUCUGACGCUGAGGUGCGAAAGCUAGGGGAGCAAACAGGAUUAGAUA
rnacentral:rRNA from 1 species